rnacentral:lncRNA from 1 species
CGGGGCCAUCAUUCAAGUUAGAUUGGGAGUCCUUGUGCUUGUUUCUUCCCUUUCUUUCUAUGAUGAGAGCCUCAUGGUGGCUCGAGACACCUUGCUCCUUUCUCCUAGCCUCCUCAUUAAGCAUAUAGUCUUUCACUAUUGCCAAGGCUAUCGAACUAUCUAGUGAAGAAUUGCUUAGAGACACCACCAAAAUCUCCUAACUAUCGAGUAAGAAACUUAACAAUAGUA